rnacentral:rRNA from 1 species
ACUCAAAUGAAUUGACGGGGGCCCGCACAAGUGGUGGAGCAUGUGGUUUAAUUCGACGCUACGCGAAGAACCUUACCCGGGUUUGAAUUGCAGUGGUUGUAGUCAGUAGAGAUACUGGCGAGGGGGCAACCCCGCUGCUGUGAAGGUGCUGCAUGGCUGUCGUCAGCUCGUGCCGUGAGGUGUUGGGUUAAGUCCCGCAACGAGCGCAACCCUUAUCUUUAGUUGCCAGCAUGUUAUGGUGGGCACUCUGGAGAGACUGCCGACACAAGUCGGAGGAAGGUGGGGAUGACGUCAAGUCAGCAUGGCCCUUACGUCCGGGGCUACACACGUGCUACAAUGGUCGGUACAACGGGCAGCGAGACCGCGAGGUGGAGCGAAUCCCUUUAAAGCCGAUCUCAGUUCGGAUUGUAGGCUGCAACUCGCCUACAUGAAGUUGGAAUCACUAGUAACCGCAGAUCAGCUACGCUGUGGUGAAUACGUUCCCGGGCCUUGCACACACCGCCCGU